AGAGUUUGAUCCUGGCUCAGGAUGAACGCUAGCGAUAGGCUUAACACAUGCAAGUCGAGGGGCAUCACGAGGUAGCAAUACUUUGGUGGCGACCGGCGUACGGGUGCGUAACACGUAUGCAACCUUCCUGUAAGUGUGGGAUAGCCUCCUGAAAGGGAGAUUAAUACCUCAUGAUAUGUAUUUGCUGCAUGGCAUUUACAUUAAACAUUUAUGGCUUACAGAUGGGCAUGCGUUCCAUUAGGCAGUUGGUGUGGUAACGGCUCACCAAACCUACGAUGGAUAGGGGUUCUGAGAGGAAGGUCCCCCACACUGGUACUGAGACACGGACCAGACUCCUACGGGAGGCAGCAGUGAGGAAUAUUGGUCAAUGGACGAGAGUCUGAACCAGCCAAGUCGCGUGCAGGAGGAAUGUCCUAUGGAUUGUAAACUGCUUUUGCAGGGGAAUAAAGUGCAUCACGUGUGAUGUUUUGUAUGUACUCUGCGAAUAAGGAUCGGCUAACUCCGUGCCAGCAGCCGCGGUAAUACGGAGGAUCCGAGCGUUAUCCGGAUUUAUUGGGUUUAAAGGGUGCGUAGGCGGGAUAUUAAGUCAGCGGUGAAAGUUUUCGGCUCAACCUUAAAAUUGCCGUUGAAACUGUUAUUCUUGAGUGCAGUAGAGGUAGGCGGAAUUCGUUGUGUAGCGGUGAAAUGCGUAGAUAUAACGAGGAACUCCGAUUGCGUAGGCAGCUUACUAUAUUGCUACUGACGCUGAGGCACGAAAGUGUGGGUAUCAAACAGGAUUAGAUACCCUGGUAGUCCACACAGUAAACGAUGAAUACUAGCUGUUUGCGAUAUAUUGUAAGCGGCCGAGCGAAAGCAUUAAGUAUUCCACCUGGGGGAGUACGUCGGCAACGAUGAAACUCAAAUGAAUUGACGG
rnacentral:rRNA from 1 species